GCGGGAUUAGUUUAGUGGUCAAACGCGGGUUUUCCAAACCUGAGUCGGGGGUCCGAUUCCCCCAUCCCGCA
rnacentral:tRNA from 1 species